ACACAACAUAUGCUGGUCUUGCUGGUAUGCUGUUUUUUUCAGCAGGGUAAGCACGAAAGCCUGUUACUGUAAAGUUAUUCGAUGGUUGAGAUAACUGCAGAUACAUUUGCCAGAUGUACAUGAUUAAUUAAAUAAUAUUUAUGCAUACUACACGUAAAUAACAUUGCAUUUUAUCUGUAAAACUGUAAAAUAUAGUAAUAUAUUUCCUAAAUCAUAUGUGGUUUUCCUGUGCAACCAGUAAGGGGGACGUUGAGGUACUGAAAUUCCCGUGUAAAUCCAUUCUACACCAUGUGUGUAAUGAGCAUGAGUGUACAGAUGAUGACGGAGGACAUCCUGUGGCAUUUCAUGACCUGUCAUCGCUGGUCCUUGAUAAAAGGCUUCUGAGAGACAUGGAAAAGAUGGCCCUGUUCAAACAUACUGGGCCGCUGGAAGUCUUUCACAGCGCACUUUUGAAAUACCUCCCCAAUGUUAGUUCCUGCACUACAAUGGUACCACACUGCCCAUAGCUGUACAUAUCUUAUUUAUAUGGUUCUUGCUGAAUAUGAAUAUUUAUUGUGUUUUUCUUAUAAUAUAUUCUGUUUAUACACUGCAUAAAUCAAUAUUAUUUAUACUACUAUU